rnacentral:rRNA from 1 species
UACGUAGGGCGCAAGCGUUGUCCGGAUUCACUGGGUGUAAAGGGUGCGUAGGUGGCAUGGUAAGUUUGAUGUGAAAGCUCAGGGCUCAACCCUGAAAUGGCAUUGAAUACUACUGUGCUGGAGGUUUGGAGGGGGGACUGGAAUUCUUGGUGUAGCAGUGAAAUGCGUAGAUAUCAAGAGGAACACCAGUGGCGAAGGCGAGUCCCUGGACAACACCUGACACUGAGGCACGAAAGCUAGGGGAGCAAACAGG